rnacentral:tRNA from 2 species
GGGCCCGUAGCUCAACUGGCAGAGCAACUGACUCUUAAUCAGUAGGUUGAAGGUUCGAUUCCUUCCGGGCUCACCA